AGUCCCUCUCAGACUGUUUUUCUGCCCAUAGAUACCCAUCUUUGAACCAUGAGAAGAUAAAGCCCAUGACUCCUGUGUGACCUUUCAGGGUCCAAAAGUCAAUGAAAGAUAGAAUAGAGACCACCAAGCCCACUGCUGCACCCCAUUGCUGGCCACAUCCAUGCAAUGCUGCUCCUGCAUUGGCCCCAGUGCCCUGGUAGGCAGCUUGGAGGGAUGAAACAGACAGAGAUUCUCCUUGGAAGGAUGACGAAGCCAAGCUCUUGAAGAUUCUUAUUAAGGCUUGUUAGGAGAGGCAAGAGACUUUUUGAAAUAGCAGCUUCUAAGAAAAUAAAACAUCUGGCAGACAGAUGUGCUGCUUCAGAGCUGUUUAGUGCCCAGACCCACGACUUCCAAAGGAAAGACAGAAAGGGUGGCCCAGAGAGAAGAACCAG